UACGUAGGGUCCGAGCGUUGUCCGGAAUUACUGGGCGUAAAGAGCUCGUAGGCGGUGUGUCGCGUCGGCCGUGAAACCUGCAGCUUAACUGUGGGCUUGCGGUCGAUACGGGCAUCACUGGAGUUCGGCAGGGGAGACUGGAAUUCCUGGUGUAGCGGUGAAAUGACGCAGAGUAUCGAGGAGGAACACCGGUGGCGAAGGCGGCGACCUGGUCCUUGACUGACGC
rnacentral:rRNA from 1 species